rnacentral:rRNA from 1 species
UACGGGGGGGGCAAGCGUUGUUCGGAAUUACUGGGCGUAAAGGGCUCGUAGGCGGCCAACUAAGUCAGACGUGAAAUCCCCAGGCUCAACUUGGGAACUGCGUCUGAUACUGGAUGGCUUGAAUUCGGGAGAGGGAUGCAGAAUUCCUGGUGUAGCGGUGAAAUGCGCAGAUAUCAGGAAGAACACCCGUGGCGAAGGCGGCUCUCUGGGACGGUACUGACGCUGAGACGCGAAAGCGUGGGGAGCGAACAGG